AACUCGGAGCCCGGCGCAGUGGAAAGCGGGCCAAGAAGCAGAGGUCCAGGUUCCAACUCUUGAUUCUAUCACAAAACACUGCACCCGAGGCAGCCAGGCAGCUUCCGAAGACCUCAUUCUCCUAAACACAUCCAUUCCUGUUUCUGGCAGAACUUUUGCAAACCCAUCCCAGUUGGAUGCAGCAACAUCAGAGGGGUGAUUACCCCCAAUUGCCAAAGAGGUUUCCAGCGCUGGAAGGAAAUUUGGAGAUCAAGGCCGAGUUGGCCUCAGCCAAGUGAAAUGGGAAUCAGGACCAUUACAAAGAAAUUCAAUUAAAAUAAAAGACACAUCAUAAACUUUGACUGGAAAACUCCAAAUGGAAUUAAUAUUACGUUGGUCAAAUUACCUAGAUAAUUGCUUUCAUUUUUCAUUGCAUCUUGAUAGAAAGGACCAAGCUACUUAAAAAUGAGUCCCAAAAUGUAUCCAUUUCAUCUUCUCAAUGACUCCUAAAACCCUCUCCAAAUGACUCAGAUGCAUUAGCUAGCUAUUGCCACAUAACAUAUUACCCCAAAACCUAACAGCUCAAAACUACAACAAACAUCCUCCCCAGCUUUUGAUAUUUGCUGUCUUUUUCAUUUCAGGCGUGGGCCGGGUGAGGAUGUAGUGAUUUCAUGUUGCGGUUUUACUUUGCAUCUUCCUAAUGAUCAGUGCAACUGAACACUUCUUCCAUGAUGGUUGACAAUUUAGCAACCCUCUUCUGUGAAGUAUCCCCAUCUGUCCAUGGGGUUGUCUGUCUUAUCCUUCAUAAGCUCUAGUUCUCUGUAUUGGCUGAAUACAAGUCCUGUUGGGGAUAUACACAUAUAUUGCAACUAUCCUUCCCACUCUCUUGACAGUGUCUGUUGAUGAACAGAAUUUCUUGUUUUCAAUACAGUUCAAUUUAUCAAUUUCUCAGUUAGCACUUUUGAGCACUGUUUUAAGAAAUCUUUAGGCCGGGUGUGAUGGCUCACACCUGUAAUCCCACCACUUUGGGAGGCCAAGGCGGGCAGAGUUAGGUUAGUGCACUUCUGUUUAGGGAGUUAGGAGUUAGUGCAGGUUAGGAGUUUGAGACCAGCCUGGCCAACACGGUGAAACCCCGUCUCUUAAUAAAAAUACAAAAAAUUAGCUGGGUGUGGUGGCGGGCGCCUGUAAUCCCAGCCACUUGAGAGGCUGAGACCAGAGAAUCGCUUGAACCUGUGAGCAUGGAGGUUGCCGUAAGCCAAGACCAUGCCGUUACACUCCAGCCUGGUGACAGAAUGAGACUCCAUCCCAAAAAAAGAAAAGAAAAGAAAGAAAGAAGGAAAGGAAAGAAGGAAAGAAGGAAAGAAGGAAAGAAGGAAAGAAAGAAAGAAAGAAAGAAAGAAAGAAAGAAAGAAAGAAAGAAAGAAAGAAAGAAAGAAAAGAAAAGAAAAGAAAGAAAUCUUUAUUUGCUCCAAGGAUACAAAGACGUCCUCCUAUAUUUUCCUCUAAAAGCUUGAUUUGUUUUCACUUUUCACACUUAGCUCUGCAGUCCGUAUGGAAUGGGUUUUUUGGUGUGGCGGGAGGUGGAUCAAGACAAGCCUUUCCCAUACAAAUCUCCAGUUCACCCAGAAUUAUUUAUCAAAAAGACCAUUCCCCCCUUCCCCCAACGAGGUAGGCUUCCUGUCACUUUUCUUGUUGCUAGAAGUGGAUUUUGGAUUGCUGGAAGUGAUUACAACAAUCUGACAUCCCCUUAGUGAUUUACACAUGUAUAUACAUCUACAUUAGCACUUGUGCCAAAGAUUAGAAACAUUUAAAUGUCCACAUAUGGAGUCAGAUGAAAUUAUGAUUACAUUGAGAUAACAGACCACCAUGAAGCCAUUGAAAAGCCUGAGUAGAUCUGUGUGCGUAGAUAUGAACAGUCUUGGGUUGUAUUAGUUACAUUUAAAAAACAGAGUUGGGCCGGGCGUGGUGGCUCACACCUGUAAUCCCAACACUUUGGGAGGCCGAGGCGGGCAGAUCACUUGAGGUCAGGAGUUCAAGACCAGCCUGGCCAACAUGGUGAAACCUCGUCUCUACUAAAAAUACCAAAAUUAGCCAGGCAUGGUGGUGGGCACCUGUAAUCCCAGCUACUCAGGGGCUGAGGCAGGAGAAUCGCUUGAACCUGGGAGGCCGAGGUUGCAGUGAGCCAAGAUUUCGCCACUGAACUCUAGCCUGGGCAACAAUCGCGAGACUUCAUCUCAAAAAAAAAUAGUAAUAAAGUAAAAAUAGGCCUGGCGCGGUGGCUCACGCCUGUAAUCCCAGCACUUUGGGAGGCCGAUGCAGGUUGGAUCACCUGAGGUCAGGAGUUUGAAACCAGCCUGACCAACAUGGUUAAACCCCGUCUCUACUAAAUACAAAAAAAAAUUAGCUGGGCAUAGUGGUAGGUGCCUGUAAUCCCAGCUACUCAAGAGGCUGAGGUAGGAGAAUGGCUUGAACCCAAGAGGCAGAGGUUGCAGUCAGCCGAGAUUACGCCAUUGCACUCCAGCCUGGGCAAUAAGAGUGAAACUCCAUCUCAAAAAAACAAAAAAUAAAUAAAUAAAUAAAUAAAUAAAAUAAAAAAUAGAGCUAAGUUCUCAUGUAGUAAAAGGGAAAGAAAAUGAGGAGCAGAAAAGCCUGAAUAAAAUGCAACAUUUGUGAAAAAACGUGGGUGUUGUAUACAUAUUCAUGACUGUUAUAUAAAAUAUCUCCACAGGCACCCACAGGAAAUGAUAGUGACAGUUGCCCUGGAAAGAAAUUUAGAGACAGGCACAGGAGGGAAACUGUCCUCCAGACGUAUUUUUAUAUGGUUUCAAUUCUUUUUUCCCAUGUGCAUGUAUUUCAGAUUUUUAUGUACUAACGUACACAUUUAUGUAUGUAAUGUACAUAUUAUAUAUUAAUGUACAUAUACAUUUAAUGUAUUAUACCUUAAAAUACCUUUUCAUUAAAGAUAAAGUCAGACAAACUUUUUUUAAAAAGUUAAUAUAUGCC
rnacentral:lncRNA from 1 species